CUUGAUGCUGGCUUUUAAGCACUGUGCUCAGCCCCGCUCCAAUCCAUUCAACCCCUGUGCACUAUUCGGAGUGUUGCAAGCUGAGACAAUGUGGGCGUAGUCUAAGGCUACUACCUUGCGGUCCAGGCUUGUCCUCUGGUUAUGUUACAAACACGUUUAUUGUCUUGUAUAAUGGAUUUGCCUCUUGUUGGGCGAAACUUAAAUACAACUUUCAACAACGGAUCUCUUGGCUCUCGCAUCUGUGAAUAACGCAGCGAAAUGCGAUAAGUAAUGUGAAUUGCAAAAGUCAAUGAAUCAUCUAAUCUUUGAACGCACCUUGCGCUCCUUGCUUAUUCCCAGGAGCAUGCCUGAUUAACUGGCAUGUUAAUAUCAACUCCGAUGGUUUUUAUAACUAUUGGGUGUUGGACUUGGAGGUUCGAGCUGGCUGCAAAGUCUGCUCCUCUUGAAUGCAUUACCUUGGAGCUGUGCCCGGUUGCUAGCCGUGUAAUACAUUUUAUUCACCACUUGCCGUGUCCCUAUUAGGGGCUGCUUCUAAUCGCCCUCACGGACAAUAUAAACUUAUGACUUUGACCUCUAAUCUUGUACGACUACCCGCUGAACUU
rnacentral:rRNA from 1 species